UGGGGAAUUUUGGACAAUGGGGGAAACCCUGAUCCAGCCAUCCCGCGUGUGCGAUGAAGGCCUUCGGGUUGUAAAGCACUUUUGGCAGGAAAGAAACGUCGCGGGUUAAUACCCCGCGAAACUGACGGUACCUGCAGAAUAAGCACCGGCUAACUACGUGCCAGCAGCCGCGGUAAUACGUAGGGUGCAAGCGUUAAUCGGAAUUACUGGGCGUAAAGCGUGCGCAGGCGGUUCGGAAAGAAAGAUGUGAAAUCCCAGAGCUUAACUUUGGAACUGCAUUUUUAACUACCGGGCUAGAGUGUGUCAGAGGGAGGUGGAAUUCCGCGUGUAGCAGUGAAAUGCGUAGAUAUGCGGAGGAACACCGAUGGCGAAGGCAGCCUCCUGGGAUAACACUGACGCUCAUGCACGAAAGCGUGGGGAGCAAACAGGAUUAGAUACCCUGGUAGUCCACGCCCUAAACGAUGUCAACUAGCUGUUGGGGCCUUCGGGCCUUGGUAGCGCAGCUAACGCGUGAAGUUGACCGCCUGGGGAGUACGGUCGCAAGAUUAAAACUCAAAGGAAUUGGACUGGGGUCGAUAGC
rnacentral:rRNA from 1 species